CACAUUUGGGGGGAAAAAUCAUACAGACAAACUGACAGGUCUGAAACCUUCAAAACAUAUAUGGAAGAACCCCUUCUACCUCUUUCUGGGUACCUCUGCAACAACUGUGUUGCCAAGUUUAAUCGUUAAUAAGUGAAGUAGAAGAAG